CGGGGUGUGGUGUAACGGCAGCACGCAUGCUUUGGGAGCAUGUAGUCCGAGUUCAAAUCUCGGCACCCCGACCA
rnacentral:tRNA from 1 species